AUGUUCAGGAUGCGAGGAUUAUAAACGCAUAUAUAAAGAGAGACAAACAAAAAUGUACAGGAGAAAACCAACGUGAACUGUGUAGAACAACUGAACAGUCCACCAAUAUGAAGAUUUGUUUGUUGGCAUCCGUGGCUUUGCUGUUGUUAUGUGCAUCCUCCACCCUGGCGACCAGCUGUUCGUACUGUAACAGACAUUGCGUCAACAUUCACUGUGGGUCCGGAAGCUGUGGUUGGUGGAGCUCCGAGUGUAAAUGCUACAACUGUGUUGGAAAACACCAGCAGGGUGGCAAGGAACAAACUCAACCAACGGAACAUCAACAUGUGUAGAGACCAAGAUGUUGAAAGCAAAGAAAUAAACCUCUUAAACAAU